CAGCAGCCACGGUAAAACGGAGGGGGCUAGCGUUGUUCGGAAUUACUGGGCGUAAAGCGCACGUAGGCGGCUUGGUAAGUUAGAGGUGAAAGCCCAGGGCUCAACCCUGGAAUUGCCUUUAAGACUGCCGAGCUAGUAGGUGAGGGAGGUAAGUGGAAUUCCGAGUGUAGAGGUGAAAUUCGUAGAUAUUCGGAAGAGCACCAGUGGCGAAGGCGGCUUACUGGCUCAUUCUAGACGCUGAGGUGCGAAAGCGUGGGGAGCAAACAGGAUUAGAUACCCCCGUAGUCCCUGUCUCUUAUAC
rnacentral:rRNA from 1 species